UAACGGAUGGAUGGAUGGCUGGAUGGAUAGUUUACAGUGUAGUCGAAAUUCCACACAUUGAGAGGUGUUUCUAUGUUUACCAAUUGGAGCACUCAAAUCAAACACUUAAGUAUUUUUCAGAAUUAAUUUUUUGUGCCUUUUUCAUGUCCCCUGGACUGAAGAACAUUGAUGCACGUUUGUCUCUUUCUGAAGUGUUGGCAGGGGAAGUGUGAGAAGAUGCGUAGUGUGGUAUCCUCUCGUGUGUCGGCAUCCUAAUGUGUGCCUCCCACUACUGCCACUGGCGCUUCAUGCAUUCCGUGCUCACAACUAAAAAUCAACUCCGGAUAAUCGAAUAAUCGAAGGUAAGAGCAACAAUAUGCAUUGCACCGAUAGAUAAACAUUUCAAAUCAUCAUUCCGAUUGCUCUUUAGACAGUCGGUGUUCGUUUUCCAAACUGAAAAGUGCAUCAUGCUUUCACUUACAGUGGUGGUUAGAUGCGGAUCCCCCAAGCCACUGAUGCCUGCUCGCCUGACCAUAUCGCUGCCUCGCUCUCCGCCGUAGUGUGCCUUCUCAUGCGUGAUCUUCAUGUGCCGCCCUCUGACAGAAGCAAUGACACCUCUGUUUUACUAUUCGCGGAAGCAUGCAACGGAAACCGAGUCACAUGGACAAGCUGCAAUCAGAGAGAGGUUCUCAAGCUCAAGGGGGCCACAGGAAGGCAGGCAAGUGCUGCUCAACUUCUCUUCUUCCUCUUCGCCGGAGCCCAGGCGUUAUAUCUCGCAUAUUAGAAUUGUGGUUGCGAGCGCAGCUGCCACCACCCCAACCCUGGCAAAACACGCCCUUGACACUCUUUUGACACACUCUUGGCCUCUUCUGAUCAGCCAUCAUGCUGGAGAGGAAACCAGUCAACGUACACACCCUUCCUGCUCGGUUUGAGGCCUGCUGCUGCAAUACCUACUUCAGUUAGAAUGAUAUUAUUGGAUCUUAACGAUUGAAUAGUUUCAACGCUCUUAGGCUCGAUGUAAGACACACCAGGGAAAUUGGAAAAAAUUGUGUUCAUCGCAAAUCAGCAAGAUAGUUUGGGGGUUUUUUUUUUUUUGGUUUUUUUAUGUUUGGCAUUUUUUUCUCCAUUGAUCAAAUUGUCCCUGGAGGCAUAUUUUGACCCAAGUUGUUUAUCCUUGGUAUCCACCCCUCAGGCAAAAAUAGGGAACAAGGAAUAAGGAAGUGAAGUGGCUGGCUGGAGCAUAGGUCGAAAGUGGGGCAAAAAAAAAAAAAAUUAAUCUGUGGCACGUGAUACCUUGUGGCAAAAUCGAUGUUUGACUGACAGGUUUCUAAGCACUCAUAGUGCUCCUGUCCUGGUUGUAUAGGAAUUAUCAAUUGGCUUUGUAAGCAUGCAUUUGGACCUGUGGGAGGCAUUAUUGUCUUUUGAAACGACUUUUUUAGUACAGCUUUUGUUUUGAUGCAGGUGUACCUCAAGGGUUUUAUCUGUUUACUACAGUCAAUUGGUUCAUGUUUUGCCAUGCUUUUGCCUAUGUUGGUUUUCCAGUGUCACGCUUCUCUAUUUGUUUAUGUGAAUUAUGAGCUACAGUUCUAUCAUUUCCUUUAUUUGUUUAUAUUCAGAGCAAUUUGAGAGGCAUAGGUGCAUCGCCACGAAGGCACGUGGUGACAUGUACGUCAUAAACUGAAAUCGGAGCAUGUCUAAUGCUGUGUUGACUGAAGAUGAUUUUUCGGCCUUAUUGUUUGCCUUCCGCUUCGGGGAUUAAGGCUGCGAUGAGGAACAGCACAACAUGUGAAUCUGAGUUCUAUUUCUGUGAACUGAGGAGGAGGAAUAGUCGCUAUUGUCGUAGGGGGAUGUGGGAUAUUUUCUCUCAGGAAAAAAAAAACAAUUUUUCAGUUUCAUGCUGUUGAAAUUCUUCAGAACCCGUUUAUUGUUGUGGCCGUAGCGUGCAAUGAAUAAUAAGCAAAAUGUCAGGAGCUCCUCGAUGCAGCGUUACUUCAGUGUUAAAAUAGGGAGCAUGAAUGACAACGAUGGCGCAACAGAUGCAGAGAAGCAAGAUAUUCCCCAUCCAGGAGAAUCAUUUGUUGUUGGCUAUCAGAAAUAUUUCUUGCACAAGUUUGUUAUGUCUUGUGCCAGCCUAAAGGUUUUCAAAACGGAUAUUGUAUUUUAAGUGACAGUAAAAAAUAUAUAUAAUAAUAAUAAAUUUACUUGAUACUAAGUAGUACAUUUCAGAGUUUAUACUUUUAAUCAGGCAAAGGAGUUGAGUUGUUUCAUUACAUUGAUUGUGUCCGCGUGUACUUUUGCCACCUCUUUGAAUGCUCAGAAAAUGCAUUGGAAGAGCUUGCAUCGAAAAAUAACAUUCACAAGACAAUCGCUGCACUGACCUCUUGUGGAAACAGCCUCAAACGAGAAGUCAUAAGCAAUCAUUCAUUUCAGCCCUUUAGAUUGAGCAGACACCAUGAAGAGAUCUUGAACGCAAACAAAGCCUCUGGGGAAUAUGUCGAGAUGAUAUGAAGAAUGGAGACGUUGAUUGAGGAAUACAGCGAAAGUACCGGAGAAUGACGGAAUAGAGACAUCGACUCGACAAAUGAGAUCAUCCCACAAGCAAAAUGCAUCGACAAGCCAUUUCGAGUGGCCCCAUGUAAUGACUUUAUUCUCCAACUUUUAAGCUGUACAGAAGCUAAUAGUACCAUAGAUAAAAGAGGGAAA